rnacentral:lncRNA from 1 species
GCCUUAGGCACUUAGGCUCCGGGAGAUUGCAAAUAACCUGCUUUCUUUCUGUUCCCGGGCUGCGUUCGGACUCCUGUCAGAUAGUAAAUCCUAAGUGGCGUCGGACCCCUGUCAGAGAGUAAAUCUCAAGUAAGGUACCUGCCAUCGGCAGAUUUGAGCUUUCUUCUUGGACACCUAAUACCCACAGUCCUCCAGGCUCCGGUAGACUGCAAAUGACCUGCUUUCUUUCUGUUCCCGGGCUGCGUUUGGACCCCUGUCGGACAGUAAAUCCCAAGUAAGGUACCUGCCCUCGGCAGAUUUGAGCUUUCUUCUUGGACACCUAAUACCCACAGUCCUCCAGGAUAACUUCAGGAAGUGGGUAUUAAUUCUCACGGUAUAAGUGAAGACAUUAAGCACCAGAGUUUAAGUAGCUUGAUCCACUGAAAGAGAUUCAACUGUGUGGAACCUAUGCCGUGGAGAAUUGCUUUCUGCCAUUGUUAUCGUCCAGCAGUUGCCGAAUAGCUCUGACCUGAGCAAAGCAGUGAAACGCGGUGCUGUUGAGUGGGUUGCCACUGCACCUUUUUCAACUACUCUAGUCUUGUGGAGAAAAUACCCCUUCUAAAUUUUUUCUUCAUUGAAUACUCUCCCUCAGCUCCAGAGUACCAUAUAGAGUUUUCUUGUAUUUUAGAGUUACUGUUUUAUCAAAGUUUACCAGUCUUUUGUAUUACAUUUCUCCUGUCUAAA